UACGGAGGGAGCUAGCGUUGUUCGGAAUUACUGGGCGUAAAGCGCACGUAGGCGGCUUUGUAAGUUAGAGGUGAAAGCCCGGAGCUCAACUCCGGAAUUGCCUUUAAGACUGCAUCGCUAGAAUUGUGGAGAGGUGAGUGGAAUUCCGAGUGUAGAGGUGAAAUUCGUAGAUAUUCGGAAGAACACCAGUGGCGAAGGCGACUCACUGGACACAUAUUGACGCUGAGGUGCGAAAGCGUGGGGAGCAAACAGG
rnacentral:rRNA from 1 species